rnacentral:rRNA from 1 species
AUUGAACGCUGGCGGAAUGCUUUACACAUGCAAGUCGAGCGGCAGCGCGGGGGCAACCCUGGCGGCGAGCGGCGAACGGGUGAGUAACGCAUCGGAACGUACCCUGUCGUGGGGGAUAACUAUCCGAAAGGAUGGCUAAUACCGCAUACGACCUGAGGGUGAAAGCGGGGGAUCGCAAGACCUCGCGCGAUAGGAGCGGCCGAUGCCGGAUUAGCUAGUUGGUGAGGUAAAGGCUCACCAAGGCGACGAUCCGUAGCUGGUCUGAGAGGACGACCAGCCACACUGGGACUGAGACACGGCCCAGACUCCUACGGGAGGCAGCAGUGGGGAAUAUUGGACAAUGGGCGGCAAGCCUGAUCCAGCAAUGCCGCGUGUGUGAAGAAAGGCCUGCGGGUU